rnacentral:rRNA from 1 species
UACGAAGGGGGCUAGCGUUGCUCGGAAUCACUGGGCGUAAAGCGCACGUAGGCGGAUCUUUAAGUCAGGGGUGAAAUCCUGGAGCUCAACUCCAGAACUGCCUUUGAUACUGGGGAUCUCGAGUCCGGGAGAGGUGAGUGGAACUGCGAGUGUAGAGGUGAAAUUCGUAGAUAUUCGCAAGAACACCAGUGGCGAAGGCGGCUCACUGGCCCGGUACUGACGCUGAGGCUCGAAAGCGUGGGGAGCAAACAGG